GGGUGUUUGAGUGGCGAGAGUUCUACCAGUUACUAGGCAAAGUGGUGAACAUGACAGUGUGCCACCCUACACUUAAGGAGACCGAGAGAUACAAUCGUCAAGGACAGAAGGAAGGCGCCGGGUGGACAUGAGAGCCUGGGAACCAUCUCUGUUCUGCAGUAAAGCCACGGAAACUGCUCAGCACUGAAGGGAUCCCUGAUCCUGGGGAGAAGGGGCUGCGGUAGAUGUGGCGGAUUCAGGGCUGAGCAUUCUACAGUUGUGAGUCUCCGUAUUAAUACCCAUCAACUGCAAAAACGAAGUUUUCUGUGAUAAAGGUGGACAUAUACACUAGUCUCUGGGCAUCACAAAAAGCCAUAGUCAGUUCAAUCCUCUGUUCAUUGAGCAGGAUAACAGUGACAGAGCAUAUGACCCGUCUGGUUCUUGACUUCCUAACAGUGCCGGCAAUGGGUUUGACUUAGAGGUACGAACAACAACAACAAUAAAUCAGACCAGUUUCUGCUUAUGUUUCAGGCCUGUCCCACUAUUAUACCAAUGUGUGUAUCUUGCCAGGCAGGGCAUUAUUGUAGCUCACGGGUUUCAGACCUGGUGAGAAUGGAUGCUUAUUUUUCUCCUUUGGUAGAAGUGCAUCACACCCUCUGGUACUAUGAAAUCUAGCCGGGGGC